rnacentral:rRNA from 1 species
GGCGUGCUUAACACAUGCAAGUCGAACGAUGAAAGCUGGAGCUUGCUUUAGCUGGAUUAGUGGCGAACGGGUGAGUAACACGUGAGCAAUCUGCCCCUGACUCUGGGAUAACUUCGAGAAAUCGAAGCUAAUACCGGAUACGACCCUUCCAGGCAUCUGGUGAGGGUGGAAAGAACUUCGGUCAGGGAUGAGCUCGCGGCCUAUCAGCUAGUUGGUGAGGUAAUGGCUCACCAAGGCGACGACGGGUAGCCGGCCUGAGAGGGUGACCGGCCACACUGGGACUGAGACACGGCCCAGACUCCUACGGGAGGCAGCAGUGGGGAAUAUUGNACAAUGGGCGCAAGCCUGAUGCAGCAACGCCGCGUGAGGGACGAAGGCCUUCGGGUUGUAAACCUCUUUUAGCAGGGAAGAAGCGAAAGUGACGGUACCUGCAGAAAAAGCGCCGGCUAACUACGUGCCAGCAGCCGCGGUAAUACGUAGGGCGCAAGCGUUGUCCGGAAUUAUUGGGCGUAAAGAGCUCGUAGGCGGUUUGUCGCGUCUGCUGUGAAAAUCCGAGGCUCAACCUCGGACCUGCAGUGGGUACGGGCAAACUAGAGUGCGGUAGGGGAGAUUGGAAUUCCUGGUGUAGCGGUGGAAUGCGCAGAUAUCAGGAGGAACACCAAUGGCGAAGGCAGAUCUCUGGGCCGUAACUGACGCUGAGGAGCGAAAGCGUGGGGAGCGAACAGGAUUAGAUACCCUGGUAGUCCACGCCGU